rnacentral:rRNA from 1 species
CCGUAGGUGAACCUGCGGAAGGAUCAUUACAGUAGUCACCCGGGCGCCGCAAGGCCUCCCGGGUAACCUACCACCCUUUGUUUAUUACACUUUGUUGCUUUGGCAGGCCUGCCCUCGGGCUGCUGGCUCCGGCCGGCGAGCGCUUGCCAGAGGACCUAAACUCUGUUUGUCUAUACUGUCUGAGUACUAUAUAAUAGUUAAAACUUUCAACAACGGAUCUCUUGGUUCUGGCAUCGAUGAAGAACGCAGCGAAAUGCGAUAAGUAAUGUGAAUUGCAGAAUUCAGUGAAUCAUCGAAUCUUUGAACGCACAUUGCGCCCCCUGGUAUUCCGGGGGGCAUGCCUGUCCGAGCGUCAUUACAACCCUCAAGCUCAGCUUGGUGUUGGGCCCCGCCGCCCCGGCGGGCCCUAAAGUCAGUGGCGGUGCCGUCCGGCUCCGAGCGUAGUAAUUCUUCUCGCUCUGGAGGUCCGGUCGUGUGCUUGCCAUCAACCCCCAAUUUUUUUCAGGUUGACCUCGGAUCAGGUAGGGAUACCCGCUGAACUUAAGCAUAUCAAUAAGCGGAGGAA